rnacentral:misc_RNA from 1 species
AACGCACAUUGCGCCCUUUGGCAUUCCGAGGGGCAUGCCCGUUCGAGCGUCAUUACACCACUCAAGCCUGGCUUGGUAUUGGGCGGCGGGAUUCCCCCGCGCCUCCAUGUGCAUUCGGCUGGACGGUCUGGAUCUCAGCGUUGUGGCAAUCAAUUCGCCGACGUGAAGGACCGGCUGCGCCGUUAAACUUCCAUUAAAGGUUGACCUCGGAUCGGGUAGGGAUACCCGCUGAACUUAA